ensembl:lncRNA
GUUGAAGACAGUAUUUUGAUCAACAGUUUGUGCAUAUAUGUUGCAAAGUUUGGACAGCCAUGCGUAUUGUUAGUAUUCUGUCUGUCUCUACAUGGACAUGCUCACAUGAACAACAACAAAGAACCCAAGCUAAAUGUUCCUUUGCAACAAUUUAAACAUUAUUAAUGUGAAGAAGACUGUCAGCAUAUCAAUACCCCUGUCUGCAACAGAAGCUGAUUCUUCAGAUCAAGAGCUGGGAAUUCGUGAAUAAGAUGAUGCACAGUGUUCCACUUUAAGAUACGUCUUUUUGAAUGGAAACCCCCUUGUAAG